UACGGGGGGGGCAAGCGUUGUUCAGAAUUACUGGGCGUAAAGGGCGCGUAGGCGGCCUUCUAAGUCGGACGUGAAAUCCCUCGGCUUAACCGAGGAACUGCGUCCGAUACUGAAAGGCUUGAAUCCGGGAGAGGGAUGCGGAAUUCCAGGUGUAGCGGUGAAAUGCGUAGAUAUCUGGAGGAACACCGGUGGCGAAGGCGGCAUCCUGGACCGGUAUUGACGCUGAGGCGCGAAAGCCAGGGGAGCAAACGGG
rnacentral:rRNA from 1 species